rnacentral:lncRNA from 10 species
AAUAUACAAGCAGGGCUUGUGCAUGUGCCCAGAAAAGACCUCAGAAGGCCCUUAUCUCUUAACUCUGGAUGACUUUGAGGCUCUGUGCAGGCAGGAAGUGUGAAGGUAAGGCAGAAUUGUAAACUGCCUGCUGGAGCACUGAAGGUAUAUCCCAGCACACACACAGAGCCCCCUCACAAAUGCUGGGAGACUUAUUGGCUCAAGGUGUCUAAGAAAAUCUAUGCCCAAUCAUUAGAUGACCAUUAAAGUAACUGAACAGAGACUUCAGUAGUGGCAAACAAUAAAAAAUAAAGACUUUACAGAAUUGUCAAGGAAGUCAUUGAACAACAACAACAAAAAGCAGCAGCAGCAACAGCAACAAAUGUUGUGAAGGGAGAUGGGGAGAAGGUCUGCUUUCUGGAGUUACCACAUUCUAUUAUUUUAAAUGACCACCUUUCAACAAAAGAUUACAAGACGUGCAGAGAAACAGGAAAGUAUGGCCUAUAAACAGGUGAAAAAAAAGCAGCUAAUAGAAACCAUCCCUAGAGAAGCCUAGACAUUGGAUUUGCUAAAGAAAGAUUUUCAAUAAGCUUUUGUAAAUAUGUUCAAUGAACUAAAGGAAACCAUGUCUAAAGAAUUAAAGGAAAGAGAAUAAUGUCUUGCCAAACAGAGAAUAUCAAUGAAGAGAUAAAAAUUAUUUUAAAAAGAACCAAAUAAAAAUGCUUAAGUUGAAAAGUGCAAUAACUGAAAUUAAAAAAUCACUGGAGGGACCCAAUAGCAAAUUCAAGAAGGUGAAAAAAGCCUGAACAACAGGAAGGAAUAAGAAUAAAGAAAAAUGAACAGAGCCUCAGAGACUUAUGGGAUACCAUCAACUAUACCAACAUAUGCAUAAAAGGAAUCCCAGAAGGAGAGGAGAAUGAGAAGGGAAAGGAAAAAUAUUUGAAGAAAGAAUAGCUGAAAAUUUCCUAAAUUUGAUGAAAAACAUUAAUUUGCACAUUUCAAGAAUGCACAAUCCAAGAAGCUCAACAAAUUCUAAUGGGAAAAUUCAAAGGCUCCACACCUAGACACAUCAUAACAAAUUAUCAAAAGACAAAGAGAAAAUCUCAAAAGCAGCAAGAGAGAAGGAACUCAUCAUACAAAAGAGUCCUUAAUAAAAUUACCAGUUGACUUAUCAGAAACCAUGAAGGCCAGAAGGCAAUACGAUGAAAUACUUAAAAUGAUAAAAGAAAAAUACCGUCCAAAAAUUCUAUACCCAACAAAAAUAUCCUUCAGAAAUGAAGGAGAAAUUAAAACAUUCCCAAGUGAACAAAAACAGAAAAUUGAUUGCUAGCAUACCUGGCCUACAAAAAGUACUGAGAAGAAUCCUUCAAGUUGAAAUGAAAGAACACCAGACAAUUAACUUGAAAACACAUGAAGAAAUAAAGAGUACUGGUAAAGGUAACUACACAGGUAUACGGAAGAUAUGAAAACAACUUCUGGUUAGCAACAAAGAGAACUAAACGGAUAUAUCUGCUUGACCAUG